GAUGAAGAACGUAGCGAAAUGCGAUAAGUAAUGUGAAUUGCAGAAUUCAGUGAAUCAUCGAAUCUUUGAACGCACAUUGCGCCCGCCAGUAUUCUGGCGGGCAUGUCUGUUCGAGCGUCAUUACAACCCUCAAGCCCCCCGGCUUGGUGUUGGGGACCGGCCACCGGUGCCCUGCUGCUUCCGCGGCAGGCGCGCCCGGCCGCCCCCGAAAUGAAUUGGCGGCCCCGUCGCGGCCUCCCUCUGCGUAGUAGCACACAUCUCGCAGCUGGAGCGCGGCGCGGCCACUGCCGUAAAACGCACCAACUUUUUUUUACAGUUGACCUCGAAUCAGGUAGGAAUACCCGCUGAACUUAAGCAUAUCAAUAAGCGGAGGA
rnacentral:misc_RNA from 1 species